UACAGAGGGUGCAAGCGUUAAUCGGAAUUACUGGGCGUAAAGCGUGCGCAGGCGGUUCGCCAAGUCAGGUGUGAAAUCCCCGGGCUUAACCUGGGAAUUGCGCUUGAAACUAGCGAGCUUGAGUGUGGCAGAGGGGGGUGGAAUUCCACGUGUAGCAGUGAAAUGCGUAGAGAUGUGGAGGAACACCGAUGGCGAAGGCAGCCCCCUGGGUCAACACCGACGCUCAUGCACGAAAGCGUGGGGAGCAAACAGG
rnacentral:rRNA from 1 species